rnacentral:sRNA from 1 species
GCCAGGCACAGUGACACAUGCCUGUAAUCCCAGAGGCUCAGGAGGCUGAGGCAGGAGAAUCUUGAGUUCAAAUCCAGCCUCAGCAACUUAGUGAGGCCCUAAGCAACUCAGGGAGACCCUGUCUCUA